AAAGCAUCGGUCUCCCUAACUUAGAACCAAGCGAAGCACUUGCCAAUUUGGCUUGGAAGAUCCAAAAAUAAAAAAAAUAAAAAAAGAUAGCAGUAGAUUUUUACUGUAGCUCGUCAAGCUUUCAAGAUGGAGCGAUAUGAAUGACGACAACAGCAUCGGUCUCCCUGACUUGGAAUGAAGCGAAGCGUCUACCAAUUUGAUCUGAAAGAUCCAAAAAUAAAAAAAUAUAGCAGCAGAAUUUUACUGCAGCUCGUCAAGCCUUCAAGAUGGAGCGAUAGGAAGAUGACGAGCACCGGUCUCCCUCACUUGGAAAGAAGAGGAGCGCUUGUCAAUUUGGCUUGGAAGAUCCAAGAGGUUGUCGCAAUUCACAGCAACGAAGACUCGUGCUGUUGACUCGGGGUCCACACAUGACGCUUGUGGAGGAGAAGGUUCGGUUCCGGUUCGGCUCCUCUAUAUAAAGGUUGGGCCUCACCCCGCAGAGCAGAGUCGAUCGAGAGAAGAAGAAGGUCGAGUGAGUGGAUCGAUUAGGAAGAGAAAAGAUGGGGAAGCAGCUGCCCCUGUGCAUGGUGUUCUUGAUGGCCUUCCUCAUCAUCUUUGCCAUGCCCUCUGUCCCUGCAGAGGCAGGGAGAGCGCUGGGGCAGGCGAGUAUUGGAACUGGAUCUGGAUUGAAGAUACCAGGCAUGACGCCUUCUGUGCCUCGUGGUCAGCCAGACGACGGCAGUAUCAGUAUCCCUAGCAGUAGCCCUGCAUGCUCAAGUGUCUCCGAAUGUAGCAACCGACCUCCUGAAGCGCCCUGAGCUAGCUAGUCUUGCUGGUCCAACGAAUUCCCAUACCCAGACUCGGCUAGUCUGGAUAACGUGGUGGAGCAGAGCGUGUGCUUCUGAGACUAUAUUCUCGGUGUAGAAUAAGGCAUGCAUGCAGCUCAUCCUACAUACGUAUAGUAAGUACAUGGGUGCUAAUGAGAUGGGGAAUAAAAGCCUAGCUAGCUGAAUGGCAUGGCGUCUUCUGCUGCGCAUAUAGUAUCAUAUAUGUUUAUGUAUGUGCCUAGCUAAAUCCAGGGAUGUUAAGUGUAGUCUGGCGAUCGAGGCAAGAUACGAUAAGUGUUAAGUUCAAGACAUUUUCGUGGUCCUGUAACAUGGUUCUUAUUUCAUGAAUCAAAUUAAUGGUACCAUGAAGCAGUA